rnacentral:rRNA from 1 species
AGAGUUUGAUCCUGGCUCAGAACGAACGCUGGCGGCAGGCCUAACACAUGCAAGUCGGACGAGAAGGUUCCUUCGGGAACUGGAGAGUGGCGCACGGGUGAGUAACGCGUGGGGACCUACCUCUUAGUGGGGGAUAACGGUUGGAAACGACCGCUAAUACCGCAUACGCCCUUCGGGGGAAAGAUUUAUCGCUAAGAGAUGGACCCGCGUUGGAUUAGAUAGUUGGUGAGGUAACGGCUCACCAAGUCAGCGAUCCAUAGCUGGUUUGAGAGGAUGAUCAGCCACACUGGGACUGAGACACGGCCCAGACUCCUACGGGAGGCAGCAGUGGGGAAUAUUGGACAAUGGGGGCAACCCUGAUCCAGCCAUGCCGCGUGAGUGAAGAAGGCCUUCGGGUUGUAAAGCUCUUUCAGAUGCGAAGAUGAUGACGGUAACAUCAGAAGAAGCCCCGGCUAAUUUCGUGCCAGCAGCCGCGGUAAU